rnacentral:rRNA from 1 species
GGAGUUAGCCGGUGCUUCUUCUGUGAGUGAUGUCCUUCCUGCCGGCUAUUAACACGCAGGCCUUCUUCCUCACUGAAAGUGCUUUACAACCCGAAGGCCUUCUUCACACACGCGGCAUGGCUGGAUCAGGGUUGCCCCCAUUGUCCAAUAUUCCCCACUGCUGCCUCCCGUAGGAGUCUGGGCCGUGUCUCAGUCCCAGUGUGGCUGAUCAUCCUCUCAGACCAGCUACGGAUCGUCGCCUUGGUGAGCCGUUACCUCACCAACCAGCUAAUCCGACAUAGGCUCAUCCGAUAGCGCGAGGCCCGAAGGUCCCCCGCUUUCCCCCGUAGGGCGUAUGCGGUAUUAGCCUGGGUUUCCCCAGGUUAUCCCCCACUACCGGGAAGAUUCCUAUGCAUUACUCACCCGUCCGCCGCUCGCCACCAGGGAGCAAGCUCCCCGUGCUGCCGCUCGACUUGCAUGUGUUAGGCCUGCCGCCAGCGUUCAAUCUGAGCCAUGAUCAAACUCUGA